CACAAACGCUCCCCGGUGCUCUUUGUGCAUGGGCUUCUCUUCACCUUUGGCUCCAUUUAAUCUCUUGUUUGGCAAACCAGCACAGUGCUCCUCUCCUGUGUUAGUUGAACUCGCUCCAAAGACUGCUAAAGGCCAUGGGAGAGCCGGGGAAGCGUGGUCCCCCACGGAAAGGUGCAGUGUCUGCAGCCACGCUCCUCAGCAGGGGCAGGGGACAUAUGUGCCCCAUCUCUAGUGACUCUGUGCCCUGACAGCUCCCGGUGACACCAUCGAUGGGGCAAGGCCGGCCCCUCGAAGCUGGGGACCGUAACCAGUUCCAGAAAACAUCCCCUCUCUUUCCCACAGGGACCAGCAAAUCUGUCUGGCAGACAAAGGCAAAUGUGGUUACAUCUAAAAGCUGUCAAUUUCAACAGAGUGGCUCAAAUUUCAUGAAAACCUCUGUGGAGGAUAAUUACAGGUUGCACAGGGUAGCAGAAAGUAAAGCUUGUUUUUAGGGUUCUGCUACUGUAGCAGAAUGGAACCCAAAAUUUCACUUGCCCCAAACCAGUCCAUACUUGUCUUAUGGCAACUCAGACUUCUCCCUAUAAACAUGCCAGAACAGGUGUGAUGAUUCAGUUUUCUGUGGUUUUAUGUCCUAAAGUGCUGGUCCCUUGCCACUAUUCCUGCUUCUGAGAGUUUGAAUUUGCUUGUGCUAUUAUCUCGAUAAUUUUUUUAAUUAUUUAUAUAGGCAGUGUGGGAAAAGAAAUGAGAGUCAUUACAUUUGAAAUGAGAACUUUGUUUGAAUGACUUUUUGAGUCACCUACACUCUGCCUAACGUACACCAGCAGGCAAAUAGAGGGAAACACCCAAAUGGCACAAAGUUUUCACCUCCACCUCCUGCACCACUAGGAUCUCCAACCAGAAUAUGGAGGAGUGUGGUCGGGCUCCAGUGCUCCCAGCUGCCUUCUUUCUGUCCUCAGAUGAGUUUUCUUCCCCUGCAGUACUUCAUAAGACCAAGUGCCUGGCUGAAUAGCAACUAGAGUAAAAAAAGGCUGCAUGUGAAAAUGUAUUGUUCCCGAAGAUGAUAAUGCAGUGAGUGCUUCUAUCCCAAUAAUGUGAUUUUGAUAGUCAGAUAUCCCAGAAUAUCUCUGGAGCACAGCAGGUUCUCUACCAAUGCUGCUCUGCUUCCCAGAAAUAUUUCCCCUUCUUCCCUGAUAAAGUUGCUCUGGCACUGACUUCCAUGAGCCUUAGACAGAAGAUCAGAAAUUACUUUCCGGAUCAUAACUGGAUAGUGACGCUAUUAAGAGAGAAGCAGGUCCACUAGAAGUUUAGUAAGAGCCCUGAUUCUCCAUAUUCUUUCUGAGCCUAUAUUUAUGUUCUCUUCACCUUUCCACAUCUAUUUUUCUAAGAAAAUGGAGUACCUGGUAUUAUUGUGACAGAGAGACACACUUGGUUUCUUCUACCUUUCCUGACAGUAAAAGGAUAAGGAAAACACAACAAUGCAGAAUUAUGGCUAAAACAGAUGCCCAGAGCUGAAAUGCUUUUCUCCCAGCAGGGCUAAAUGCUAAUGCUUUUCUCCUCAGCACAGCAGUGAAGUCGUGAGAACAUAGCCUGGUUUGGCUUUUGAGCACUGCAGAGGGCUGUAAGGAGACACCUAAGCUGCAGGUAAUCUUGCAAAGCAGGAAACAGCUGAUUUUAAGUAUGUAAAAUCCCCUCUUAGAAAUGAAUGCGACACUUCUUGUGAUAGCUCUGCAGACACUGGAUGCACUGCAUGUCUGCGCAUGGAUUUUGGAGACAUCCAUGAUGGGAAAAUACUGCAUCCCUCACACAGUCUCUGGUUACCAAGGCAAAGGCAGGUAUAAAUAGAAACAGUCUGAUUUUUUUAAUCUCCAUCUAGAAACCUGUGUUGUUGAUAACCCUCUGACAGCAACGCCUUAUUCCAAAUGGCUCUGUUCUACAUUUGUGUGGAAACUUCUGGUUUAAUCCUUUCCUCCAGUUACUUCUGGUUGUCAUUCCACUGAAAUAUGAAAAUUGUCUUGGAGGUAAAGUUUGGAUAAAUAUCUGUUUUGCUAAGAGCUUUCAUCAACUAAAUGAACAAGAGCUAACACAAAGCUUGUAGAAAAACCCAGAAAAGAAAGCAGUCUUCCUCCCUAUGUAUCAUGGUAAGUGGCUGUUCAAAUGAUUAGCACUGAAAUGAUUUAACAAGUUUUACAUUUUCAUCUUCACCAGUAGAAGAACCUUCCAGAUUCUUCACACCAAUAAAAUAGAUGGGGUGGUGAAUCACUUGCUGUUAAAUACAAAGGGAAUAAAGCAGAGAUUAAUUUGGUUGAUGACAGCUUGCAGUUGCAGAAUCAAGACAGCCUCAGCUUGAAGUGAUUUGGAUCAUCUUUGAAACUAAUGGGGUGAAUUAAAAAUAAAAAGUUUCUGCAGAAACUGGGGGGUUAUCAGUAGACCUUAGAACUUGCUGCUUCUGCAAGAUCCUUGCAAAAAAAGUGAAAUAUUGAAAUAAAUGUAUAAUC